rnacentral:rRNA from 1 species
UGGGGAAUAUUGGACAAUGGGCGAAAGCCUGAUCCAGCCAUGCCGCGUGUGUGAAGAAGGUCUUCGGAUUGUAAAGCUCUUUAAGUUGGUAGGAAGGGCAGUAAGCGAAUACCUUGCUGUUUUGACGUUACCGACAGAAUAAGCACCGGCUAACUCUGUGCCAGCAGCCGCGGUAAUACAGAGGGUGCAAGCGUUAAUCGGAAUUACUGGGCGUAAAGCGCGCGUAGGUGGUUCGUUAAGUUGAAUGUGGAAGCCCCGGGCUCAACAUUGGAACUGCAUCCAAAACUGGCGAGCUAGAGUAGGGCAGAGGGUAGUGUAAUUUCCUGUGUAGCGGUGAAAUGCGUAGAUAUAGUAAGGAACACCAAUGGCGAAGACGACCACCUGGGAUCAUACUGACACUGAGUUGCGAAAGCGUGGGGAGCAAACAGG